UACGUAGGGACCAAGCGUUGUUCGGAUUUACUGGGCGUAAAGGGCGCGUAGGCGGCGCGGUAAGUCACUUGUGAAAUCUCUGAGCUUAACUCAGAACGGCCAAGUGAUACUGCAGUGCUAGAGUGUGGAAGGGGCAAUCGGAAUUCUUGGUGUAGCGGUGAAAUGCGUAGAUAUCAAGAGGAACACCUGAGGUGAAGACGGGUUGCUGGGCCAACACUGACGCUGAUACGCGAAAGCCAGGGGAGCAAACGGG
rnacentral:rRNA from 1 species